rnacentral:misc_RNA from 1 species
AAGUCGUAACAAGGUUUCCGUAGGUGAACCUGCGGAAGGAUCAUUACCACGUUCCAAACGUAUCAACCAAAGCGAAUCGUUUUCGAUUUCUCCCAUCCCAGUGAAUGAGCUGAAUCGCAUGAGUGCGUGUGCGGGAUCCAGCAAUGGAUCAGCGAGUGCGUAAACAACUUAUAGUUCGCAAGUUCUAUAGACGGCUGCAUCACUGUGGGUGGCUUUCUCCCUACCCUCGGUUUCCGACACCGAUUGGAGGUAGUGGGGGCUCAUCAACUAUUUUCACCUUUUUGCUAGUUGACUUAUUCUGUUAUUUUCGCUUCGGCGUGAGUACACGUUUUUAAUUAAACGACAAUACAACUCUUAGCAAUGGAUAUCUAGGUUCUC